rnacentral:rRNA from 1 species
AAUAAAAACAUCUUUGGUUGGGGCAACCACGAAGAAAAAAUAACCUUCGAAAUCAAAAAAAAUUUACAAAUUUAAAAUUUUUAAUAAAAAAGAUCCAGAAAAUACUGAUCAAAGAAAAAAGUUACCGCAGGGAUAACAGCGUUAUUCUCUUUAAGAGUUCAUAUUGACGAGAGAGUUUGCGACCUCGAUGUUGGACCGGGACACCCAAGAGGUGCAGCAGCCUCUAAAGGUAGGUCUGUUCGACCUUUAAAGCCCUACGCGAUCUGAGUUCAGACCGACGCAAGUCAGGUCAGUUUCUAUCUA